CUAGCGUGUCCUCCGUCCGGAAAUACUUGUUAUCAAAAUGAAUAAAAUAAAAUGUAUCUAGACGUAUUUUAAUUUUAAAUACAUUCAUUUAUUCAUUUUGAUGACAAGUAUUUCCGGACGGAGGAAGUAUGUU
rfam:Triticum aestivum genome assembly, contig: Triticum_aestivum_CS42_TGACv1_scaffold_578216_7BL